rnacentral:rRNA from 1 species
CCUACGGGAGGCAGCAGUGGGGAAUUUUGGACAAUGGGGGCAACCCUGAUCCAGCAAUGCCGCGUGUGUGAAGAAGGCCUUCGGGUCGUAAAGCACUUUUGUCCGGAAAGAAAUCCCCUGGGAUAUUACCUCGGGGGGAUGACGGUACCGGAAGAAUAAGCACCGGCUAACUACGUG